GCGGGGAUAGCUCAGCUGGGAGAGCGUCAGACUGAAGUUCAACUUCAGGAACAUUAAUCUGAAGGUCACGUGUUCGAUCCACGUUCACCGCA